rnacentral:ncRNA from 1 species
GAAAGACUUAGUCCUAACCUUACUGUUAACUCUUGCCAAACAUAUACAUGCAAGUAUCCGCGCCCCAGUGAAAAUGCCCUCACCACCUUAACUAGAGUACAGGAGCAGGUAUCAGGCUCACCCCACAACCGUUGCCCAAGACACCUUGCCUCAGCCACACCCCCACGGGUUUUCAGCAGUAAUUAAUAUUAAGCUAUAAGUGCAAACUUGACUUAGUUAGAGCAACACACCAGGGUUGGUAAAUCUUGUGCCAGCCACCGCGGUCAUACAAGAAACCCAAGUUAACUUUCUACGGCGUAAAGAGUGGCCUCCAAUUAUCACCUCAACUAAGAUUGAAAUGCAACCAAGCUGUUAUAAGCCUAAGAUGCACUGAACACCUUCCAUCAAAAUGAUCUUAGCCAUAUGACCGACCAGACCCCACGAAAGCCAGGAUACAAACUGGGAUUAGAUACCCCACUAUGCCUCGCCCUAAAUCCAGAUGUUUACACUACCCAAACAUCCGCCUGAGAACUACGAGCAUAAACGCUUAAAACUCUAAGGACUUGGCGGUGCUUCAAACCCACCUAGAGGAGCCUGUUCUAUAAUCGAUAACCCACGAUACACCCAACCAUCUCUUGCCAAACCAGCCUAUAUACCGCCGUCACCAGCCCACCCCUAAACUGAGGGACCAACAGUGGGCACAAUAGCCACCUUCCGCUAACAAGACAGGUCAAGGUAUAGCCAAUGAGAUGGAAGAAAUGGGCUACAUUUUCUAACAUAGAAAACCCCACGGCAAGGAGUGUGAAACCACUCCUAAAAGGCGGAUUUAGCAGUAAAGCAGGAUUAUAACGCCUCCUUUAAGUCGGCCCUGGAGCACGUACAUACCGCCCGUCACCCUCCUCACAAGCCCAAAUAACCCACAUUCAUAAUCCACCUCCCAGCUAAAGAUGAGGCAAGUCGUAACAAGGUAAGUGUACCGGAAGGUGCACUUAGUCUACC